CAGUCGAGCGGUAAGGCCCUUCGGGGUACACGAGCGGCGAACGGGUGAGUAACACGUGGGUGACCUGCCCUCCACUCUGGGAUAAGCCUGGGAAACUGGGUCUAAUACCGGAUAUGACUUCAUGCCGCAUGGUGUGGGGUGGAAAGCUUUAUGUGGUGGGGGAUGGACCCGCGGCCUAUCAGCUUGUUGGUGGGGUAAUGGCCUACCAAGGCGACGACGGGUAGCCGGCCUGAGAGGGCGACCGGCCACACUGGGACUGAGACACGGCCCAGACUCCUACGGGAGGCAGCAGUGGGGAAUAUUGCACAAUGGGCGAAAGCCUGAUGCAGCGACGCCGCGUGAGGGAUGACGGCCCUCGGGUUGUAAACCUCUUUCAGCAGGGACGAAGCGAGAGUGACGGUACCUGCAGAAGAAGCACCGGCCAACUACGUGCCAGCAGCCGCGGUAAUACGUAGGGUGCGAGCGUUGUCCGGAAUUACUGGGCGUAAAGAGCUCGUAGGCGGUUUGUCACGUCGGCUGUGAAAACCCAUCGCUCAACGGUGGGCUUGCAGUCGAUACGGGCUGACUUGAGUACUGCAGGGGAGACUGGAAUUCCUGGUGUAGCGGUGAAAUGCGCAGAUAUCAGGAGGAACACCGGUGGCGAAGGCGGGUCUCUGGGCAGUAACUGACGCUGAGGAGCGAAAGCGUGGGUAGCAAACAGGAUUAGAUA
rnacentral:rRNA from 1 species